AGCUUUUCUCAGUGGCAGUAUCGUAGCCAAUGAGGUUUAUCCGAGGCACGAUUAUUGCUAAUUCA
rnacentral:snRNA from 1 species